AUAACAUAUUAAAAUUAAACUUAAAUAUUGAAACAACUUAAUACUCAAAUAUUAAUCAAUACAACAUGUUGAAACAACUUAAUACUCCGGUAAAUUACUUCCGAAUCCACAAAAAUUGUUAAAAUAUUGUCCAAAUGACGUGGGUGGAUGAAGAGUUUGCUUAUUUUGUUGCUAGUGACUGCGCUUUUGUAAAAUAUGUGCUUUCUUUACUUGGAAAUGUUCACGGACAUUUGGAUCUUCUAUGGAAUUUACGUCACAAAAUACAAAAAAAAAUUCCUUCAUCUGUUUUAAAGCAAAAUUUUGUCUUUGAAUCUCCAACUCAUGUUUGUCUUUGUUUACUUGACUUCUUUAGGUUCUCUAAGAAUUGUUUAUUUCCUUCUUCUAGUGUAUUGGAAGAGAAGCUCCACCACCAGAAGUACAAAUACCAGAUGAUGAAGAUAAUCGGUUCCAAGAGUUUCUAAGUUGAUUCAGAAAAAUCAAAGAUAAAGAAGCUCAUUUCUCACUUUGGAAUGCAUUAAUUGACCAUUUAUGGGAAAAAUAUAGUAAUGAAAUAUUUAGAUAAUGUCUAUUUUGUUUUAUUAAUAUUUUCUAAUGUGGUUUGUAAUAAAAUAUUUAAUUUAAAUAAUAUUGCAAUUUUAUGAAAAAAAUUAAAAGUUAUAAUAAAUGUGUUAAUUUGCAACAUUUAUAAAAUAAAAAAAGAAUUUUGUAAAAAUAUUCUUUUAUAGAAGAAAAAAAUAGAGAAAUACACUAUUAUAGAGGAAGAAAUAGAAGAAUACUAAGAAGUUUCUGUUCCAUAUAUCUCUUACAACCUUUAAGGGGACCAUUUAUCUGUACACAUUUUGUCCAUUGAUCUCAACCUUACACGUUUCCCACAUCUCUGCGUAACACAUGCAUCGAAAUAUCUAAAAGUUAAUAGCGUUGUCUUAAAGGCAAGUUCACUAGAAGUCAUAGCGAGUUGUGCCCCCACUCUCCCAAGUCCCAACCUCCGUGGCUCCAAACCAAAUCGGCGAUGAAUGGGUCCGGCGAAAUAGUGGCGAGUUUAGCGACCGUUCACCCGGUUUUUCGUGGGACACCUUUUAUGAUCUAUCUGUCAUCACCUUAAUCCACAAAGUCAUUGACACCAUCAAUUCUUCUAGAUAUUCUAGAAUUUUUUUCUUCAUAAAAGUCUAGAGUUAGUUAACUGUAACCUAACACAAAAGAUUCGAUUGAUUACUUACCGGUGUAAUUUUGAGUAGCAAACUGCAGAACAUCAGAAUAUUUAUGUGUUCGCACGGCUGGAUCAAGUUCAGUCAGCAAAAGUUCUAGAACGUUAGCUAUGUUUGGGUCCCUUUAGUUGUUUCAUUUCAUAAAUUUUACGCUAUAUGGUUUUUUAAAUUAAAUUACUUUAUGUUUGCAAGAAAUUUAAAUUAGUAAUGUAAUACAUUAUUUUUUGCUGAAAACCUAAAAUAAUGUAAUAUGUAAUACAUUAUCUCGUUUUUUUUCUUUAUCAAAAAAACUCUAGGUUAAUUAGGAUAAAUGAGCACUUAGUUAGGUAGUAUAAAAUUUGAUAAUAUCUUGAAAUAAGAUUAGAAUAUAGGGCAAUUAUCUCAAAUAACAAUUUUUAAAUUUUCGUCACGUCACUAAAUAGCCAUUUCUAUCUAAACCGGUUUGAUUUACAUGAGAAAAAAUGACAUUACAUUUUCUAACUUCUUUUGUAAGGGAAUUAGCUCGAACAUUUUCGAUCCUCAGAUUAUGGAUAAUGCUAAAACUUUCAAAGUUCAUGUGCCAUAAACGAAAAAUAAAAACUGAUCAAUCAACCAGGUUAUCAAUCAUAUCUACCAAAUCGGAGAAGUCUCAUCUAAAUUGCGUCAUGCUACUUCAUCCAUAAUGAGUCCAACUUUUAUAAAUGGAUUUAAGAUGUAGACUUUACGGCCCAGUUCAACUCCUUAACUUAGGAAAUGUGGCUUUCUGAAAUUGUUACGGUCACUACAAGAAAUUUGGGUUUUAAUAGCAGACCAGUAUAGCGUUUUUUUCGAUUUUGCUAUGGUUGACAUACCUCUUACUUUUAGAUAGCGUUUGUGAAAAUGCAAACGCUAUCUUUGGUUGAUCCGAUUUUAGGUCCGUAAACGUUUUUUUCUAAACCUAGUAUACAUAGCACUUUCAGUUUUGAAACACUAUGCAUAAUUAAAGCGUGAAAUAAUUUAUUUUUCCUUUCACCCUUGUUUCACUUUCCUACUCACUAUAUUUUAUUUUCCUCCAAAAACCUUAACACUAAAUUUAAACCCUAAACUUUUAACACAAUCCUAAACUCUAAACAAAAACUUUAAAUUCUAAAAUUUUAACAUUAAAUCUUAAAUUUAACUUCAUAUCUUAAAUAUAAACUAAAAAAUUACUAUUUUCAAAAGUUAAUCUCAAAUCUUAAAUCAAUACUCCAAACCCUUAACCCUCAAACCCUAUACUCAAAACUUUAUUCUAAACUCCAAACUUUAAAUCUAAAUUCAUAUCAAACUUUUCUAAAAUUUAAUACACUACAAUUUUUAACUACAUGCUAGUCGUAACUUAUAUAUAUAUAUAUAUGUGUAUUUUGCAAAUCUUGAAUUUUGGAGUUUAGGGUAUGUUUAGGGUUAAGAUCUAAAUUUAAAUCUAAAAAAAUUCAAGUUUUUAGAACUAUGUACAUAUCUACUUUAAAUGAAUUAAACAUAAAAUUUUAAUCAAACUUAUAAUAAACAUUAAAAUUAAAGAAAGAUUAGAAACAAAAAAAAUCUUUCGAUGUACAACAAAGAAGAUAUAGAACCAAAAUACUACCAAAAUAAACUUUACUGUCCAAAGUGAAAAUAAAGUAAAACAACUAAAAGAAAAAAUUCCUAUUGGUUAGUUCAUAAGCACAAGGAUUGAGCUUUUCACCGUCAGAUGACAGGAUCCUCAUCCAAUGGACCAAAAUUAUUCUUUUAUUCAGUUUUGGAAUUUUUUGAGCAAACAGAUCUCAUAUCUUUCGACACAUUCUCUUAGACAACUUCAUCUCCUCAUCUCUUCCUCCUUAGGAUUUAUUCACUACUAGCCCCCUCAUUCUCUUUGCCAAUCUCUGCUCCAUUUUUCUCUACCCUCGCGAGAUCUCUGCUCCAUGACUCAUCUUCUCUCCCUUUGUCGAUUUAUCUUUUCUCCAUCUUCUUCUCUCUUAUCAAGAAUACUAGAUCUAGAAGCAGAGGCUAAGCAUCGAUAUUUCUCAUGAUACUGACAAAUCUCAUUCCGCCGCGAGACGCGGCUGAGGUGGUCGACGACUCCGACACUCGCGGUGGUCGCGAGCAGAGAUGGUGGUGCGGCGGGUGAGGACUGGAAGAUUAAGAAGACAACAAAGGGCAUGGAUUGAUGCGACAACGAAGGGCAUGGAAGAACACAACGACGAAGGUGGUGGUGCGACGGGUGAGGAUUGGAAGAUGAAGACUACAACGAAGGUGGUGGUGCGGCGGCGUUUAGUUAGUAAUUAGGUUAAAGCUUAGUUUAGCUUUUGGUUUAUUAUUUAAUUAGAUUUCUUUUUAUAUUUUUGUAAUCCAAUUUAAUUAAAAAUAAAUUUAAUUAAUAAAGAAAUUUUAAAUCUAUGAAUUAAUUUUAAUUAUGUUUUUAUUUUUCAAUAAUUAACUAAAAAUAAAUAUAAAAUAAAUAAUUUUAAUAUAAAUAAUAACAAAAACAAACACUAUUAAAGAAUGUUUAAUUGCAUACAAAAAAAUGCUAUAAUAUAUGACAAUAAGAUAGCAUCGUGAAAAACCGCUAUCUAAUGUGCUUGACCUACUAUGACGGGCGAUGAUACAGCGCUUCAUAAACCGCUAUCGUAUCGUUAGAUAGCGUUUUUCGCCCGCUAAGAAAAGCUUUUUUUCUUGUAGUGGGUGUCUCAAUCAGGGCCAGACCGCAGAUUCCCGACGCACCGCAACAUUCCUAAUGGCUAGACGACGCUCGUAUGUGUUUUAUGUCGUAUGUCUGACACAUUGUCUAUGCCAAACAUUUGUCCCAAGUGGUCGCUGUCUCUCUACGGAGACUAGACCCCACGGCCCAUAAUUAUAUUCACAAUACAAACACAGAAGCCCAUUCUAUAUCAUCUUCUCGCUACCCAAUCUUCAAACACGUUGAAUUAACGUAAAAGGAUAAAUAGUAUAGAAGCUUGCGUGGCUGAAUCAUGGACGUACGUGCGUUGGGACAUGGCUGCAGAUGCCACAAACUUAGUGAAAGGUUUCGUUCUUAUGGAUUAUAAUGGUUGAAUUCACUAGGAAUCAAGUAAUCAAAUCUUUGUUAAAUAUAUUUUAUAUGUUUGCGUUUCAGGGUAUUGUAGUGAGUCUAAAGAUCCGCAAGAUCGGUCACUCUGUUCAUGUUUAAACUCCCUAGAAUUCAACGGAUUUAAGAUCAAAACGAACUAGACACUAGUGAAAAAUAUUCAAAUUAUAUAUACAACUUUUGUGGACCGGUUCGCUUAAUAUAUCAAGAUAUCACAACUACGACAACUUAUUCCAUUAAUUAUUGAUUAGCUCGUUGAUCAGGUUCGGCUCGUAUCACUAGCUAGUGCUUUUGUGGGGUUUAAAACACUAGCUAUUGUUAUCGUCUUUAAGAAUUCUGCAUACAGUUGAGUACAAAAUGGUUUUGAAAACGAAACUGAACCACAAAUUAAACAUGAAAUGAUAAUUAACAUAUUUAGGAAAAAAAAAACAAAUUAAACAUGAAUAUCCUCUGUACAUUACUCAACAGUUAAUUCGUAUUAUAAAAGGGGGACAAGAGGGACAGUGGGUGAGCAUAAAGUCAUCAUAUUUGCAUGUUAGAGCAGCCUCAUCGCGGUCUCUUAUGACCAGUAUUUAGUGUUUUUAGCUUUAAAAAAAAAAGAAAAUUGCUUAAUUAAACAAGAGACGUAUAUUAAUUAGAAUGCACAAGAGACGGGUUUUUGGGACACGCGUCGCACAUUCACCUUUCUCUUCUCUUUCUCGACGGAUGCUCUUCUCUCUUGACUCCUCGACAAAACCGACCGUCUCUGGCCAUCUCUCCUCGAAUCUGAUCUCUCGUUGACGGAAUCUCUCGUCGAUGGAACCAGUCGUCGUCUAUCUCGGUGGAAUCAUCGUCUCUAUCGGUCCCCUCGACGAAGAAGAUGCAGAGGAGAGAGAUUACGAGAACUCCGAAGACGAUGAUGAGAAUCACGGAGUUGGAAGAUACGGAUCUUCUUCGUCUGUGUUCGAUUUCUCUGCAUCUCACUCCGGCUCUAAACACUCGGGCCUUCCUUCAGCUAACGACGUUUUCUCUCAGAUAUCAGGGCCACCUGAGUUUCUAAACAACCGUAUAGAAGCUGAUGAAGAAGCUACAGCUAGAGAUGCUGAGCACGCUAAGCGUCUUACCCGCAAAAAGAAGAAAGCUAAACCUAAAGGUACCCCACCAGUGCCAUUCACAUCCCCAUGUUUAGUAGGUUCACUGGAUCAUAGAGGGAUAACAUGAAAAUAGAUGUGAAAGGUUGAUUUAGAAGCUUGUUUGGGUACACCUUAAAGCAUACGUAUUGUGAAAUAGCAAACCAGGAACUGAGUUUGUUGUCUCUAUCUAGUUUCGUUUUCUCGGUUAAGCACUGACUGUUUCAGCUGGUUUUAUAAGUGUUGUCGUGGAAGCAAAACCUCAACUAGUAGGGAUCCAUGAGAGAGUAAGGAACAAUAUCGAUGCACCACCACCAUCUUCAGAGAAUGGUGAGAAGCGGAUAUCUACUGCAACCAAUCCUAAUGCAGAAGAAGCUGCAGAUCUCUUAAGGUAUAAAUUAAGUCUCUUCAUCAUAUUCUUUCCUAUUAUCACAUCCGAGCUUCAUUAGUGUUUUCUUUUCAUGAUGUUAGGAUGUGUCUGCAAUGUGGAGUGCUGAAAACAUAUACAAGCGCGAGAGGGAUGGUAUGCCCGGUUUGUGAUGACCAGCCGUUACCGGACUCGGACGCCAAGAAGAGAGGCUCUGCGAUCAAAGAUAAAGAGAAGAGCAAAAGAAUGAGAGGACAAUCCUCUCAUGCUUCUUGGAAAAGUGAAACCGAGAUGCAACUAAGGCAACAUUUCGAUUAGUAUGCUUCAGAACCUUCUUCUCCUUUUUUACUACAUUGUUUCUCCAUCCAAAUCCAGUUUCUGUAACGUAACUUGUAACACAAGAAGAUCAUCUACAAAGUUAUUGAUGUUAAGAGAAAUGCACAAUUUUUUUAAGAACUCUAAAAUUAAAAACUUGCAAUGGAGGAUAUAAAAGUAGAAAUUUCUUAACAAAGUCUCUUAGCCUAAUAAACUCCUUAAAUACUAAUAAAAAAUGGUUAAGAGACCCUUAAUGGGUAUCAUGGAUAAUGAUGCUCUUAAUCGUCAGAAGGGUAACAUUAUCUCAAUUAACAUAAUAAGAGUGGUGAAUAAAAAAAAAAGAGUAUUUGGUAAUAUAUUAACUUAAGAGGUGAUUAAGUGGUGAAUAAGAAAAAAAAAAGAAAAAAAAAGUGGU